GACAGAGGGUGCAAACGUUGUUCGGAAUUACUGGGCGUAAAGCGCGUGUAGGCAGCUCGGAAAGUCGGGUGUGAAAGCCCUGGGCUUAACCUAGGAAGUGCACUCGAAACUUCCGAGCUUGAGUUCUGGAGAGGAAGGCGGAAUUCUCGGUGUAGAGGUGAAAUUCGUAGAUAUCGAGAGGAACACCGGUGGCGAAGGCGGCCUUCUGGACAGUGACUGA
rnacentral:rRNA from 1 species